rnacentral:rRNA from 1 species
CGAAGCAACGCGCAGAACCUUACCAACCCUUGACAUCGCCUGACCGGCCUGGAGACAGGUCUUUCCCGCAAGGGACAGGUGGACAGGUGCUGCAUGGCUGUCGUCAGCUCGUGUCGUGAGAUGUUCGGUUAAGUCCGGCAACGAGCGCAACCCACACCCUCGGUUGCCAGCAGGUCAAGCUGGGCACUUUGGGGGAACUGCCCGUGAUAAGCGGGAGGAAGGUGUGGAUGACGUCAAGUCCUCAUGGCCCUUACGGGUUGGGCUACACACGUGCUACAAUGGUGGUGACAGAGGGUUUAUCCCUAAAAGCCAUCUCAGUUCGGAUUGUCGUCUGCAACUCGACGGCAUGAAGUCGGAAUCGCUAGUAAUCGCGCAUCAGCUCGGCGCGGUGAAUACGUUCCCGGGCCUUGUACACACCGCCCGUCACACCAUGGGAGUUGGGUUGACCCGAAGGUGGUGCGCCGACCUCGCAAGAGGGGGCAGCCAACCACGGUCAGU